UCGCCGUAGAACAUUCACUCGGGCCUGUCUUCUUUGCUUGUGAUGCGUAGGGUGCAUGUUGCGCGGGAUUCGUGCAAUGCAGAGAGAUUCGCGCAUGAGAGAGUAUUGUUGGUAACUAUGACAA
rnacentral:lncRNA from 1 species